UAUCACAGGUGUACACCCUCUGUGAUAUUGGAAGUAAUAUCUACCUAGGAUAUUACGAAUAAUAUCACAGUGGGUGUACAUACAUAGUGUA
rnacentral:miRNA from 1 species